UACGGAGGGGGCUAGCGUUGUUCGGAAUUACUGGGCGUAAAGCGCACGUAGGCGGCUUUACAAGUCAGGGGUGAAAGCCCGCGGCUCAACCGCGGAAUUGCCCUUGAGACUGUAUCGCUUGAACACGGGAGAGGUGAGUGGAAUUCCGAGUGUAGAGGUAGAAAUUCGUAGAUAUUCGGAAGAACACCAGUGGCGAAGGCGGCUGACUGGACAUGUAUUGACGCUGAGGUGGCGAAAAGCG
rnacentral:rRNA from 1 species